GAUGAACGCUGGCGGCGUGCCUAAUACAUGCAAGUCGAGCGAACAGACGAGGAGCUUGCUCCUCUGACGUUAGCGGCGGACGGGUGAGUAACACGUGGAUAACCUACCUAUAAGACUGGGAUAACUUCGGGAAACCGGAGCUAAUACCGGAUAAUAUAUUGAACCGCAUGGUUCAAUAGUUAAAGACGGUUUUGCUGUCACUUAUAGAUGGAUCCGCGCCGCAUUAGCUAGUUGGUAAGGUAACGGCUUACCAAGGCAACGAUGCGUAGCCGACCUGAGAGGGUGAUCCGCCACACUGGAACUGAGACACGGUCCAGACUCCUACGGGAGGCAGCAGUAGGGAAUCUUCCGCAAUGGGCGAAAGCCUGACGGAGCAACGCCGCGUGAGUGAUGAAGGUCUUCGGAUCGUAAAACUCUGUUAUUAGGGAAGAACAAAUGUGUAAGUAACUAUGCACGUCUUGACGGUACCUAAUCAGAAAGCCACGGCUAACUACGUG
rnacentral:rRNA from 1 species